CCUACGGGUGGCAGCAGUGGGGAAUUUUGGACAAUGGGCGCAAGCCUGAUCCAGCCAUGCCGCGUGCGGGAAGAAGGCCUUCGGGUUGUAAACCGCUUUUGUCAGGGAAGAAACGGCUCGGGCUAAUACCUCGGGCUAAUGACGGUACCUGAAGAAUAAGCACCGGCUAACUACGUGCCAGCAGCCGCGGUAAUACGUAGGGUGCAAGCGGUAAUCGGAAUUACUGGGCGUAAACAGUGCGCAGACGGGCGAAAUCCCCGGGCUCAACCUGGGAACUGCAUUUGUGACUGCAUGACUUGAGUACGGUAGAGGGGGAUGGAAUUCCGCGUGUAGCAGUGAAAUGCGUAGAGAUGCGGAGGAACACCGAUGGCGAAGGCAAUCCCCUGGACCUGUACUGACGCUCAUGCACGAAAGCGUGGGGAGCAAACAGGAUUAGAUACCCGUGUAGUC
rnacentral:rRNA from 1 species